rnacentral:rRNA from 1 species
CGGACGGGUGAGUAACGCGUGGGUAACCUGCCUCAUACAGGGGGAUAACGGUUAGAAAUGACUGCUAAUACCGCAUAAGCGCACAGUACCGCAUGGUACGGUGUGAAAAACUCCGGUGGUAUGAGAUAGACCCGCGUCUGAUUAGCUAGUUGGUGAGGUAACGGCCCACCAAGGCGACGAUCAGUAGCCGACCUGAGAGGGUGACCGGCCACAUUGGGACUGAGACACGGCCCAG